rnacentral:rRNA from 1 species
CACCAGGUCAGGACACGGUAAGAUUGACGGACUGAAGGCUCUUUCUCGAUUCCGUGGAAAGUGGUGCAUGGUCCGUUUUUGGUUGGUGGAUCGAUCCGUCUGGUUAAUUCCGUUAACGAACGAGACCUCGGCACUCCGAAUAGCGCGGCGGACGUCGCGGCCUCCGGGCCGUCUUCCGCACGAGCUUCUUAGAGGGACCGUCCCCCGCCGGGGAAGGAGGUGCGAGGCAACGACAGGUCUGUGAUGCCCUUAGAUGUUCUGGGCCGCACGCGCAUUACACUGACGCGUCCAACGGGUGACUCCCGACCCGAAGGGGCCGGGGAAUCCGCAAGGCGCGUCGUGAUGGGGAUUGAACGUUGCAAUUGUUGUUCACGAACGAGGAAUUCCUAGUAGGCGCGGGUCAUCAACCCGCGCCGAUUACGUCCCUGCCCUUUGUACACACC